GACGAACGCUGGCGGCGUGCUUAACACAUGCAAGUCGAACGGAAAGGCCCUGCUUUUGUGGGGUGCUCGAGUGGCGAACGGGUGAGUAACACGUGAGUAACCUGCCCUUGACUUUGGGAUAACUUCAGGAAACUGGGGCUAAUACCGGAUAGGAGCUCCUGCUGCAUGGUGGGGGUUGGAAAGUUUCGGCGGUUGGGGAUGGACUCGCGGCUUAUCAGCUUGUUGGUUGGGUAGUGGCUUACCAAGGCUUUGCCGGGUAGCCGGCCUGAGAGGGUGACCGGCCACAUUGGGACUGAGAUACGGCCCAGACUCCUACGGGAGGCAGCAGUGGGGAGUAUUGCACAAUGGGCGGAAGCCUGAUGCAGCAACGCCGCGUGCGGGAUGACGGCCUUCGGGUUGUAAACCGCUUUCGCCUGUGACGAAGCGUGAGUGACGGUAAUGGGUAAAGAAGCACCGGCUAACUACGUG
rnacentral:rRNA from 1 species